ACGACAAUCGUAUGACGCGGUGGAGGAGGGAUAAUGUUGUUCAAAAUAUCUUUGUUUUCAGAUUUAAAUCAAGUUUGACAAGACAUAAAAAAAAGAGGUAUGAUCAGCCACAGUUUGCGAGAUAAUGCGAUAUUAAACAUCGCGAAACAUCGUGAAAGAACACAACGAUGAGCAACAAAUGUCUAUAUCGUGCAGUAUCGUGUAUAAGCAAAAUGAUGCGGUAGAUAGUAUAGGUUGGUGUAUUAUGAAACCAUUUAACCAAAAAUAUUUUGCAAGACUAGGUAUAAAAAAAGAGUACAGAAUGCAAAUUGCCAGAAACUACUUGUUUAAGGAGAACUGAAGCAAACUGAACAUAUUUUAUCAUGUGGUCUAUUGUGAUAUAGAUAUGCAUAUGUGUAAUUGCAAUUUCUGACAUAAGAGAGACUAGUUUGAGCAUUUAAAAGGAAAUGUGACAAGUAGAGCUCACUGAUUAAGAGAUAAAAAAGAACUGAAACUAAGAAGCAUAUCGGAUGUUGAAAAAUACUUUACCUGCCAAUGCAUUCUGUAUUAUUACAAAAGUGAUCCAAGAUCGGGAUAUACAUCUUCAAAAUCUGAGACUUGAGCGCAGAUGUGCGAUCUUCACGGAACAUAAACAAUUUUUUAACGGAGUCUGGUGCAAAAAUAUUCUACUAUUGCUCUGUUGAACAAAGAUACAGCUAUCAAGUACAGGAUUAAUGUAGCGGAUUAUAUACAGGACUAAUGCUCACAGCCAUUAAUAUUAUUUCACGUACGGACAAGCACUAUAUUUCUCGAUAAUUGCAACAUUUGUGGAAAUGAUUUUUCACUUCAUUGGAGAGUUGCCUAUUGUUCACGUACAAUUUAUGAAUAAUAACGUUGCGCGACCAUAGACAUAUAAUCAAGAAAUAUGAUUAGUCGAAUUGAUAGUAUUAAUCGCUCCGAGAGCGAUUCAACCCGGAUCGGUAAAAAAUGUUAAUAGUAAUAAUUGCGACUUUUGUCUAUUAUUUAUGAUUGUUCUGAUAUAAUCGCUAUUGGCUUCAGCCAAUUAGGUUGUAUCUGCUAGCAACGCCAUCUAUAGUAAAGAUUUUCUUUUUUUUUUUUUUAUUAAAAUAGAUACGUUAAAAGUUCAUGAAAGUUCAGUUGUUCAGAAAUACUUGUUCGCGAAUAUAAGAUGAAUAGCGCGGAUUCUGAUCUUAAUUUCGCCUUAAAAAGUCGGAUGUCCCACAGAUUUUGUAUAUAGAGAUCAGAAGAAUUAUUAAAAUUAAUUUUGCAAUCCAAACAACCAUGACACAACGUAAUAGUUGCUACAAAAAUAAAAAUGAUCGCAGCGCUAAACUAUUUCUUUUUAUUGUGUGCGUAUAUUAUUAUGUAUGUAUUUGCA